GAUGAACGCUGGCGGCGUGCCUAAUACAUGCAAGUCGAGCGAACAGACGAGGAGCUUGCUCCUCUGACGUUAGCGGCGGACGGGUGAGUAACACGUGGAUAACCUACCUAUAAGACUGGGAUAACUUCGGGAAACCGGAGCUAAUACCGGAUAAUAUAUUGAACCGCAUGGUUCAAUAGUGAAAGACGGUUUUGCUGUCACUUAUAGAUGGAUCCGCGCCGCAUUAGCUAGUUGGUAAGGUAACGGCUUACCAAGGCAACGAUGCGUAGCCGACCUGAGGGUGAUCGGCCACACUGGAACUGAGACACGGUCCAGACUCCUGCGGGAGGCAGCAGUAGGGAAUCUUCCGCAAUGGGCGAAAGCCUGACGGAGCAACGCCGCGUGAGUGAUGAAGGUCUUCGGAUCGUAAAACUCUGUUAUUAGGGAAGAACAAAUGUGUAAGUAACUAUGCACGUCUUGACGGUACCUAAUCAGAAAGCCACGGCUAACUACGUG
rnacentral:rRNA from 1 species